AAAAAAAAAAUUCCUUAGACAAUCUAUAUUUCUUCCUUAACAAUAAUGCCUAGUUGUAUUUUAUAUUAAAUUUAUAUAAUAACAAAUAUCUAUAAGGGAGAUUUAGAGAAUUACCUAUAGAUAAGACCUACAUUAGAGACUUGUCCUCCGAUUGAUAGCUGAGAUAGAAGUCACACAAUAGAGUCCGAGAAUGGACGAAAAUGCCCUUCACCACCUGACACACCCAUUACAGAGUAUACUGACACCAGAUUUUUUUUUUCCUUGUCUUUCCUUUACGCUCUCUUUCUUUUGAUUCACACUCUUUUUACACUUUUUUUUUCCUAUUUUCUUUUUCUUUCUUCUUAUACUCACUUUUCUCUUACUUCUCUUCGCUUUCCUUCAACACUAUUUCUUCU
rnacentral:lncRNA from 1 species